rnacentral:rRNA from 1 species
UGCUUAACACAUGCAAGUCGAACGGCAGCAUGAUCUGUAGCAAUACAGAUUGAUGGCGAGUGGCGGACGGGUGAGUAACGCGUAGGGAUCUGCCCUAAAGAGGGGGACAACCCGAGGAAACUCGGGCUAAUACCGCAUAAGCUCUGCGGGGGAAAGGCUGGGGAAACCUGGCGCUUUAGGAGGAACCUGCGUCUGAUUAGCUAGUUGGUGGGGUAAUGGCCUACCAAGGCGACGAUCAGUAGCCGGCCUGAGAGGGUGUCCGGCCACACUGGGACUGAGACACGGCCCAGACUCCUACGGGAGGCAGCAGUGGGGAAUAUUGCGCAAUGGACGAAAGUCUGACGCAGCGACGCCGCGUGAGCGUCAAGUCUUUCGGGAUGUAAAGCUC